rnacentral:lncRNA from 1 species
UUUUUUUAUUCCACAACAAUUUGUAGAGGUAAUUUUCAUUUUUAAAAAGGUCAUGUGGACACAAGGGAACAAAGUUGGAGGACAGGCAGCCAGAGAAGAAAGCAAACAGUAAUCCGGGAAGAAGAUGAUGCUGGAUGAAUCCAGCUGAGUGUUGGUGGGACAUACUCAAGUGAGAAGGGUGAGAUGCUGUCUUUACAACACGUGGGUGAUAAUCCUGAGAUAAGUGAGCUGAAUGAUAAAAUUUCAGAUUUAGGGAGAAGAAUGCUCUUGACAGAAACUUUGUGGGAGGAAGGUUAUUGGUGGUGGUUUUGACGAUGAUUAGAUGACUGGGGUGAGAGGAAGGGAAAGAUCAUUUGAAGUGCAGGAAAAACAAAAUGAGACAUCAAACAUUUUAUAUAUGCUUCUAAGACAGUCUCUGGCAUGGCUGGGUGUUGUAUGUCACCUCCCCCUCAGUCCUUGAGGACGGACGCGACGUCCCUGUCAUCUUCAUACUCCUAGUGCUUGUCAUAGUCCUGGUGCUAAAGAACUCGAGAAGUGUCUGCUACAGGACUGAAUUACCAUUCAGAAUUAUUUGAAUACCAUCUAUUUUUGAUUGAAAUUUCUAAAAGAAUUUCUACUAAAAUUAAACUAUGGUGUGCCAGUGUGUUAAUACUCAUGAUGUAACUGGUAGUGGGCAUGAACAAUAUACUUCACACACAGACACACACAGACAUGCGCAUACACACACACACAUACACACACACACACGGCCAGGGAUUCUACAUGUGGAAAAAGCACAGUACAAUGAUACAUAAGUGACCCAAAGUAAAUGGAAGCAGGAAGGGGUUAGUGCAGCAGUCUGUGACCUGAGGCACAUAGAUUCUGCUGUCAGCAGGAGCUUUCAUGGCAGAGAAAGAGGUUGAAAGCCACUUUCUCCACAAGUACGCAUGUUUAUGUAUUAUUCACAAUAGCAAAUAAUUGUAAAAUGUCAACAUUUCGUUUCCUCUUAAGAGCUUCUUUUGAUUAGUGACCUAAUUAACCAUUAAGAAGAAAAGGUUUUUUAAGUGUAAAUAUGAAAAGAGGGAGUGUUUCCUAGCAGCAAUUUGUGAUUUUAAAAUGUCACAGGCAGGGACAUCACGGAGGUGCUACCAACCAGCACUUUUCAAAAUAUGACUCUGUGUCAGGAACGUGUGGCAUGGAUGUGUUUGGUGUUUUUGUGUAUGUGAGUGUGUGUGUGUGUGUGUGUGUGUGAAAGGUUGUUUUUAAUCAAUUUAAUUUGAGACUGUAUUCUUCACAGAUAAUGACACAUUUUCUCUUUCACUUCAUGAGUAUAUAUGGAAAAAAUGCAAAAGUGCCACACACAGGCACACACACAGCACAUGUACACUUUCCUAUGUAUUCAACAAAUGUACAACUAAAUGCAUAUGCACUGUGCACACAUAUACAACAUACACUUACAAUGCAACACACGUAAGCAUGCACAACAACUACACAACUACACAACAAACAUGGACAUAAACAUAAGAUACAUGUACACAACAUGCUCACAUUUAUAUGCUGUCAUAUACAUAAUGCAUGCAUAUUUUGAUAUACUCAUACAAACUUAACACCCACAUGCAUAUAAUCACAUGGAAUAAAAUUUACAUAUGAAUUUUAAAAGUAUCUCCCUAAAACCUUAUUCCACAUGUCAAGGUGUGACACCUCCUGGGAGAUCUCAGCUGGAAACAUUUCUGAAACAGCCUUUCUCACAGUUGAGAGUAACCUGACCUUUUAUUCUGGUUGCCCACAGGGACCAGGGAUGAGCAAGAUGCAUAAAAUGGGAAAACACAAACAAGCAACAUGUCUAACUAUGAAGCUUCCUUUUAAAAAGUCUAAGUCAGUUUUAAAUACAUUCUACCUGAUUUCCACCGUAUAAUGAGAUAAUUAAGUUAUGUUAUUAAACAAAAAUGUUACAAAAACCUCUCUUUUCAGGAUGAUGAUUGAAACCAGAGUCUAGAAAAUACACCAUGUUAUUCAAAUUAACAUAGAUUAAACUAUUUUAUAGAUUUUAUUACAGUGAGAAAUGCAUAAAAUCUUAGCAAUUAAUUAAGCUCCAUCUAGACCUGUUCUCCCAAUGCUUUAUAAAUGUGAACACACACACAUACAUGAACACAAUCUGUAGACAAAAUUUCAAGAUCAAGUGUUUUUUUUUUUGUUUUUUGUUUCCCUAUCGACCAUUAAGCAUAAAUGGUAUGUACUAAUAAUUUCUGGUGAAUAAAUCAAUCCAUCUUUAAGAAUAAGAAUUCGGAUUGAAUCCAAGCAUUGAGAUUACUGAUACCCUACUAUGUGUCAGGCACUGUGCAAGGCCAUUUCAGGUAACAAAUAUAAGAAAAUCUCUGCUUUCUAGAAAUCUCCAGAUGUUUAAGUUGCAGACGUGCCCCAGAUCUGGUGUUGCUAUGGCUCUGGGGUAGGCCAGCAGCAACAGCUCUGAUUCGACCCCUAGCCUGGGAACCUCCAUAUGCUGCGGGUGCAGCCCUAAAAAGACAAAAGACAAAAAAAAAAAGAAAAAAAAUAGAAGCCUCCAGACCAGUGGGAGCUAUAGUUAUCAUGAUGAUUUGAGGUCAGUUCUCUGAUGAUGGAAGACACAGGUAUUCCUGGAAAAUAAAAGGAAAAUACAACAAAACCCUGAGGUCAGGAAAGUCUAAUUUUAAACCAGGCCCCUCUUUACUCCUGAAUGGGAGUAAACACACUUUGGGGAAAUUCCUACUUGGAAAUGUAAAUUGCUUAGGAAAGCUUUUCAGAUCUCAGUUUAAAUAUUAUCACCAUCAUCCAGUUGAAUUCUGAUAAGACAACUUGUAUAUAUUGUAAUUAAUAAUGCUUCCCUAUUUUUAUUUCCUAUUUGUGCCCUUACCUUAGACAUGUAACUCUCACUAAGGGCUCCAGAUGCUGAAAGCCUUCUGCAUGUCUAUGUGGAUGUGUACCUGAAUUUGCCUCUUCAUCUGCACAUGUAUGUUUGUAUGCAUAUGUUUGUGAGCAUGCACACACACAAGGAUGUGUGUAGGCAUAUGCUCCAUCUCUCUGUUCAUGACCAUUUGGCUCCGACAUGUGCCUUGAGUGUCUGAGCAAGUCUCCUUCACUGGACUUAGUCUGCUUCAGAUUCCAGCACUUGAAAGGUCAAAUAAAGUAGCUUGCGCCACACCUUCUCUGUGAAGAAUGAUCUCUACAAACAGAGAGAGAAAAUGUCUAUGAGGUUGGGUACAGCAUUAUCCAAGCAGUCUGAGGCUAUGCAUUCCGGUUCCAGGCAGGGGAACAGAGGUUAUUCUCGGGCAAAAAUUAACUAUUAUCUCCAGUGCUCUGAGCAGUUGACGAGUUUCACCUAGUCUAGUGUUGUUCCUACACUUUUCAGCUUAAGUUUCCAUAGGACCCCUCGGCCCAUGAACUCAAUAACCAUGCAGAUGAAGACAGUAUUGUAAGUACUGUGCUAACAAGGCAGAGACCAUGAGUUUGACCACAUCACUUGUCCCUAAUGACAGCCAUUGAGCUGUUACUCAAUUCCUAAAGAAACAUCAUUAGAGAAUUUAGAUGUAUGUUUGAGUGACAAAGCUCAUAAGAAGGAAGCCUCAGUGACCAGUCCAGCAAUGCUGCUCAAGAUAACAGGUUCUUGCAAGUAGCACUAGUUGAGCUCCUUGGCACGUUCAAUUCUGACUUUUGUCUUGGAGGAAGUUUUCACUUUCACUCAGUUUUAGGUAAUAGGCAAAAACUAGUGAGGGCACAUAGAAAUUAUUCUUCCCUUGAUAUUCCUGUUAUGACUCAGUGGGUGAAGUACCUGGCAUAGUGUCUGAGAAGAUGUGGGUUCAAUUCCAGACCUCGCUCAGUUGGGUUAAGUAUCGUUGUUGCCCCAAGUAGGUUGCAGAUGCCGCUUGGAUCCUGAAUUUCUGUGGCUGUGGCCUAGGCUGCACCUGCAGCUCCAAUUCAACCCCUAGCCUGGGAACUUCCAUAUGCUGCAGGUGUAAUAAUAAAAAGAAAAAGAAAAAAAAGAGAAAAAAAUUAUUCUUUCCUCUAAGUGUAUAUAGUUUUGAGAAUGGAAUUUCCAGUGAACACCUGUCUUCUUCGUUUCCUAUUUGUAAGCUCUCAGAAAGGUUUGUUAAUGCAUGAUUUGAAAAUGAUAUUACUAAAUACCAUUUGUAGGAGGAGCACGGGAGAUAUAUAACAGAAGAUGUUAGGGAUUCAGAGAAAAGAUGAGGAGAAAAGGGGAAAAGAUAUUGGAUGUACAUAUUAGAAAUUCUCUAGGUUUGGUCUCUUAAAGCAAAAAAGGAAAUUUAUCUUUAAUCAUUUGUAAAAGAAAAGAAUUCAAAGAAACAAGGUCCUUGGCCCACUAGCUGCCUAUCUCCAGUAUCCACCAGGCUCUGUUAGCAACCUGUGACAGUCCCUGUGUGGAAAAGAUAAAGUCACUAUCCAGAAAGGACAAGCAAUGGGCUGACUUUUUACACAUGCUUCAAUCUCCUAUAAUCAGACUGGCUAAGCAGUCUGGGCAGAAGAUUGGCAAAUCAUGAAAGCAGAGACUGAUUUUCUCCUUUAUUGCUUAAAAGCAGAUGAAAUUAUCCCUACAUAACAAGCAGCCAGGAAUGCUGUACCAAUUGCCUAAGCCCCAAUCAGUCUUUCCUCAUGGUUAUAGUUAUGGUCUGAUUUCAAAUCUAAAUCUCUUUU